rnacentral:rRNA from 1 species
AUUGAACGCUAGCGGGAUGCUUUACACAUGCAAGUCGAACGAGUGGCGGACGGGUGAGUAAUAUAUCGGAACGUGCCCAGUAGCGGGGGAACACUACUCGAAAGAGUGGCUAAUAACGCAUACUAUUGGAGCGGCCGAUAUCGGAUUCGCUAGUUGGUGGGGUAAAGGCUCACCAAGGCAACGCGCCGUAGCUGGGUUGAUAGGAAGACCAGCCACACUGGGACUGAGACACGGCCCAGACUCCUACGGGCGGCAGCAGGGGGGAAUUUUGGACAAUGGGGGAAACCCUGAUCCAGCCAUCCCGCGUGUAUGAGAAGGCCUUCGGGUUGUAAAGUACUUUUGGCAGAGAAGCGGUAUCUGCAGAAUAAGCACCGGCUAACUACGUGCCAGCAGCCGCGGUAAUUC